rnacentral:rRNA from 1 species
AACGAACGUUAGCGGCGCGCUUAACACAUGCAAGUCGCACGAGAAAGGGCUUCGGCCCCGGUAAAGUGGCGCACGGGUGAGUAACACGUGGAUAACCUACCCUCGAGCAGGGGAUAACAUCCCGAAAGGGGUGCUAAUACCGCAUAAGACCACGGCUUCGAAAGGAGCUGAGGUAAAAGCUGGCCUCUAUAUAUAAGCUAGCGCUUGAGGACGGGUCCGCGGCGCAUCAGGUAGUUGGCGGGGUAAUGGCCCACCAAGCCUAAGACGCGUAGCUGGUCUGAGAGGAUGAUCAGCCACACUGGAACUGAGACACGGUCCAGACUCCUACGGGAGGCAGCAGUGGGGAAUCAUGCGCAAUGGACGAAAGUCUGACGCAGCGACGCCGCGUGUGUGAUGAAGGCCUCGGUCGGUAAGACACUGUGGGAGGAGAAGAAUAAAGACAAAGGACCGAAUAACCCUUUACG